rnacentral:rRNA from 1 species
CCCGCUGAACUUAAGCAUAUAAUUAGGCGGAGGAAAAGAAAAUAACAAUGAUUCCCUCAGUAAUGGCGAAUGAACAGGGAAAAGCUCAUCCUGAACCUGUGGGGACUAGUCUCCUCACCGGAAUGUAGGGUGUCGACCGGCCUUAGUGGGCCUCCGUCUCCGACAGAAAUCCCCUGGAAAGGGGUACCACAGAGGGUGACAGUCCCGUAUGUCAUUAAGGCGAUGGGGGUCUACGACCUUAGGUUGGAUCGUAGAGUCGAGUUGUUUGGGAGUACAACUCUAAUUGGGUGAUAAACUUCACCUAAAGCUAAAUACGAACGGAAGACCGAUAGCGAACAAGUACCGCGGGGGAAAGUUGAAAAGAACUUUGAAAAGAGAGUUAAAUAGUACCUGAAACCGUUAGGAGGUAAGCGAUCGGCACCAUCGCGCUUUGUAGCUCGCUGGCUAUUCAAUCUUCUGGAGUGUAGAACUGGGUGUAGGGAGUCGGUUUUCGGAUUGGCCCUUUUGCGUCUAGCUCGAAGCUCUAGGGGGUGCACUUAGUUGGUGGGUUUUAUUCAGAGUCAUCUAUUGGGGGGGAAAGCUUCCAAAAAGGUUUCUUUGGGGAGGUAUACGAUCGAGCUUAUCGUAGAGACCCAGAGUUGCCUGCCUACCUUCCUGGUGGAUGAGGGCCUCGAAAGAGGCAUGAGUGGGGGUAUUCUUGGUAAGGGAUCGCGUGUAAUAGCUGCGACCUGGAUCCGGAACCCGCUCUCGAACUCUGACCUUAGAUGGAAUCGAUCGUCCCGUCUUGAAACACGG